rnacentral:rRNA from 1 species
AUUGAACGCUGGCGGCGUGCCUAAUACAUGCAAGUCGAACGCAGUGGGGACGGGUGAGUAACACGUGGUUCACCUCCCAUCAGAGGGGAUAACACUUGGAAACUGGUGCUAAACCGCUACUGGUGGAUGGACCCGGCGUGCAUUGACUAGUUGGUGAGGUAACGGCUCACCAAGGCCACGAUGCAUAGCAGACCUGAGAGGGUGAUCAGCCAAACUGGGACUGAGACACGGCCCAGACUCCUACGGGAGGCAGCAGUAGGGAAUCUUCGGCAAUGGACGAAAGUCUGAUCGAGCAACGCCGCGUGAGUGAAGAAGGUUUUCGGAUCGUAAAACUCUGUUGUUAGAGAAGCGGUAUCUAACCAGAAAGCCACGGCUAACUACGUGCCAGCAGCCGCGGUAAUAC